rnacentral:lncRNA from 1 species
UUAACUAAUUUUUUGUAUUAUCAGGGUAAAAAAGCCCUUGAUUGGUGAAAGCCACAUUAUAGCUACUAUUUAAUACGAGAUAGAUUUUAUCGUACAAAUAAAUAACACAUUGGAAAAUUUGAUAAACUUAAAUGGUGAUUAAUGACAUUAAUCCAAGCAAAAAUGGUUGGGCAUUUUCAGUUCAAAUUGCUAAAGCUAACUUGCAUACUUGUAGGCUUUUUUACACCAAUACUACAAAAACAAAUUAAUAACUCAAAUGGUAUGUCCAUGAGAUUAUUUAUCAAAAUGGUAUCUUUGAUACAGUGUUCUUCCAGUGUUGCUUGACAAAUUGGCAACACCAGACUCAAAUGUGAUGACCUAAAAUAUUCAGGGACCUGAUAUAUAAAUUUCCUAUUUUGAUUGGCUAUUGAAAAAAAACUUUUAGGGUGCCACUUGACAGUGUGGCGGCACCAAACUUUAAAUAGGGUAAAUUGAUUCAUAAACCCUCAUUAUUUAUUAUUUUCUUUUAUUCCCCUUCAACACCAAAAAUAGGGAGGCCUCUCACCAAUUAGUCCAAAAAAAAUUCUACCAAAUAGUAUUUUGGUAAAAAAAUCCAAUUCCAACUGGAAAUAAAUUUUAUUUAUUUUUUCAAAAAAUAAUUUUUUUUCAAAUUAUUUUAUUCCAGUUGGAAUAAAUUUUCAAAAAAUAAUUUUACAACAAAAUUUAUUUGAACAAAAAAUUUUAUUUUUUGAAAAAUAAAUAAAAUUUAUUUCUAGUUGGAAUCGACUUUUUUACAAAAAUACAUUUUGGUAGAAAAAUUUUUUUGGACUAAUUGGUAAGCGACCUCUCUAUUUUUAGUGUUGAAGGGAAAUAAAAAGAAAUAAUAAACAAGAAUGAUUUAUGAAGUAAUUUAUCCUAUUUAAAGUUUGAUGCCGCCACACUUAUAGGCCACACCCUUAUAGCUUUUCAAUUAAAAUGGGGAAUUUACAUAUCAAGUCUAAUAUUUUAAAUUAUCAGAGUUUAGUUUAGUGCCGCUAAUUUGUUAGGCGGUAUUGGCAGAACACUAUAACAAACGUACCAUUUUGAUAACUAAUCU